GUCACAAAGAAAGAGCAUGGUUCCCACCGAGCGCAAAGCGCCCAGGGAGAAUAGGGAAUGCGGAUCGGGUGACCCAUUUCGGGGCCCAAAGCCGCAGCCGCCCCCGCGACUGUAUGCGGAGAGCGCCAGCCAAAUGCCACUGGGGCAGCCCCCGGGAAGGCGGCAAGGCGCAUCGACCCGCGAGCCAGGAGACCUGCCGUGCACACAUCAACCCA
rnacentral:ncRNA from 2 species